AGAGUUUGAUCCUGGCUCAGGAUGAACGCUGGCGGCGUGCUUAACACAUGCAAGUCGAACGGAGGACCCUUGACGGAGUUUUCGGACAACGGAUAGGAAUCCUUAGUGGCGGACGGGUGAGUAACGCGUGAGUAACCUGCCUUUGAGAGGGGAAUAACUUCCCGAAAGGGAUGCUAAUACCGCAUGACGCAUAUUUAUCGCAUGGUAGAUAUGCCAAAGAUUUAUCGCUCAAAGAUGGACUCGCGUCCGAUUAGCCAGUUGGCGGGGUAACGGCCCACCAAAGCGACGAUCGGUAGCCGGACUGAGAGGUUGAACGGCCACAUUGGGACUGAGACACGGCCCAGACUCCUACGGGAGGCAGCAGUGGGGGAUAUUGCGCAAUGGGGGAAACCCUGACGCAGCAACGCCGCGUGAAGGAUGAAGGUUUUCGGAUUGUAAACUUCUUUUAUUUAGGACGAAGGAUGACGGUACUAAAUGAAUAAGCUCCGGCUAACUACGUGCCAGCAGCCGCGGUAAUACGUAGGGAGCGAGCGUUAUCCGGAUUUACUGGGUGUAAAGGGCGUGUAGGCGGGGAAGCAAGUCAGAUGUGAAAACCAGUGGCUCAACCACUGGCCUGCAUUUGAAACUGUUUUUCUUGAGUGAUGGAGAGGCAGGCGGAAUUCCCUGUGUAGCGGUGAAAUGCGUAGAGAUAGGGAGGAACACCAGUGGCGAAGGCGGCCUACUGGGCUUUAACUGACGCUGAGGCACGAAAGCGUGGGUAGCAAACAGGAUUAGAUACCCUGGUAGUCCACGCUGUAAACGAUGAUUACUAGAUGUGGGGGCUCGGUCCCCUUUCGGGCGGGAGGCGACAUAAUAAUUAUUCCUCCUGGGGAGCAGGGCAGCUAUGGUGAAACUCAAGGGAAUUGACGGGGGCCCGCACUAGCUGAGGAGUAAGUGGUUUAAUUAGAAGCAACGCGAAGCACCUUACCAGGGCUUGACAUCCAAAGGAUCCUGUGGAAACAUAGGAGUGCCGUUUGGGGAACAUUGAGACAGGUGGAGCAUGGUUGUCGUCAGCUCGUGUCGUGAGAUGUUGGGUUAAGUCCCGCAACGAGCGCAUCCCUUGCUAUUAGUUGCUACGCAAGAGCACUCUAAUAGGACUGCCGUUGACAAAACGGAGGAAGGUGGGGACGACGUCAAAUCAUCAUGCCCCUUAUGACUUGGGCUACACACGUACUACAAUGGAUGUAAACAGAGGGAAGCAAAAUAGCGAUAUGGAGCAAACCCCAAAAAGCAUUCUCAGUUCAGAAUGCAGGCUGCAACUCGCCUGUAUGAAGUUGGAAUUGCUAGUAAUCGCGGAUCAGCAUGCCGCG
rnacentral:rRNA from 1 species